UGGAGUCUGAGCCGGUAUUCACUUGAAUGUGUAAAGUUUUGUGUUUCUUUUCUCGAAUAACAUGUCUAUUAUAUUUAGGUUCACAUAUGGAAUUUCUCUGGGCGAACAACCUUCAUAUUUAUAUCAUCGUCAGUGUGGACCAUGUUUGACAGCAGCAGCCCAUAGUUUCUUGUCAUUUUCGUAGUUCUGAGAAACUUUUCUUAGUUGGUCUGUUCGUUUGUCAAGAACUUGUUGUGCAAGUUAUUAUGUUAUAUGUUAGAACAAUUAUACCUAUAUAUAA
rnacentral:lncRNA from 1 species